AUCGCUGUUAUAAUAAAUUGAUUUUUUUUAUCUUUAACAUUUUUUUCCUAAAUAAUGCGAUUAACACAUGUUCAAUUAGAUGUUGAUAGAUUUUAAGACCUAGUACUAUCUUUUUAAGUUUUCUAUAUCAACUUCAUCUACUGAAUUUAUUUCAAAUUUAUGCAGGAUAUUCGAAAAGUCUGCAACUAAUGGGAUUUAUAUUACAUAUGCUUACUCUCAUUUACAAUGUGUUACACGUGUUUACUCUGAUGCAACUUCAAAUCUUGCGUCAUCCUCGGUUAGAUGAUGCAGGAUUUGAAGUAUUUGUACUGCUGAAACUUCCUUGCGCCGUGUCCGUUAUUGGAUUCUUUUCAGGAUGUCUGGCAUUGAAUUCGUCUGCCACUUCCCUUUAAGUCCAUCCCUGACCACCAAUAAGAAGGACUAUCUGUACCUUUCAUCCAAUGUUAAUGCUAUUUUUCACCUGCAAAGAAAAACCUUUGGUUCUAGACUUUUCAAACAUCCUGUAGAAUGAUAAAUAGCAUUUAAUUUAUAAAGAAUGAAUUUGAUAUACAUUCUUUCAAUAAAGAUCCUAGG
rnacentral:lncRNA from 1 species